UUUUCAGUAACGCUUCCAAGAUCUGUAUGGUUUUCAUUUUUGGAUCCAGAUUUUAUUUCUACUCAUUUUGUUUCGAGUAUUUUGUUUCAAAUUAUAUUUACAUUGGCUUGGGUUCAGUUUUCUCUCCGGUUUCGAAACCAUCACCUAAUAACAUGAAGACUUUGACCGGUAAAUUACUGUUACGAAGUUCGGAAGGGCUAUAUUCAAGUUAUCGUUCCAGUUACUACAUACUGGUUUUAAAAGGUUUCAUGAUGUUUAAUGAUGAGUGUUCUUAUUGAGUAUGAUU
rnacentral:lncRNA from 1 species